rnacentral:rRNA from 1 species
GAUGAACGCUGGCGGCGUGCCUAAUACAUGCAAGUCGAGCGAACGGACGAGAAGCUUGCUUCUCUGAUGUUAGCGGCGGACGGGUGAGUAACACGUAGAUAACCUACCUAUAAGACUGGGAUAACUUCGGGAAACCGUAGCUAAUACCGGAUAAUAUUUUGAACCGCAUGGUUCAAAAGUGAAAGACGGUCUUGCUGUCACUUAUAGAUGGAUCCGCGCUGCAUUAGCUAGUUGGUAAGGUAACGGCUUACCAAGGCAACGAUGCAUAGCCGACCUGAGAGGGUGAUCGGCCACACUGGAACUGAGACACGGUCCAGACUCCUACGGGAGGCAGCAGUAGGGAAUCUUCCGCAAUGGGCGAAAGCCUGACGGAGCAACGCCGCGUGAGUGAUGAAGGUCUUCGGAUCGUAAAACUCUGUUAUUAGGGAAGAACAUAUGUGUAAGUAACUGUGCACAUCUUGACGGUACCUAAUCAGAAAGCCACGGCUAACUACGUG